rnacentral:rRNA from 1 species
GUGAGGAAUAUUGCGCAAUGGAGGCAACUCUGACGCAGCCAUGCCGCGUGCAGGAAGAAGGCGCUACGCGUUGUAAACUGCUUUUAACCGGGAAGAAACCCCAGGACGUGUCCUGGGUUGACGGUACCGGAGGAAUAAGCACCGGCUAACUUCUUGCCAGCAGCCGCGGUAAUACGAAGGGUGCAAGCGUUAUCCGGAUUCAUUGGGUUUAAAGGGUGCGUAGGCGGAGCGUUAAGUCAGUGGUGAAAUCCUGCAGCUUAACUGUAGACUUGCCAUUGAUACUGGCGCUCUUGAGUGCGCUUGAAGUGGGCGGAAUGUGCCGUGUAGCGGUGAAAUGCUUAGAUAUGGCACAGAACACCAAUUGCGAAGGCAGCUCACUAAGGCGAUACUGACGCUGAGGCACGAAAGCGUGGGGAUCGAACAGGAUUAGAAACCCGUGUAGUCC